GGUGAAGGGCUGUGGCUCAAUGAAACAGCCUUCGCUUUGCAUGCGGAAGGUCCCAGGUUCAAUCCCCAGCCCCUCCA
rnacentral:tRNA from 1 species